rnacentral:lncRNA from 1 species
GGACGGAAAAAUCUUACUGCAUGCAGUCUCGUCUCACAAUGACAGGUUAAAGGCCAAGUGUAAUUAAUGUAAUCUCUUCCGCCUGCUCUCUCUUAGAAGAAGACAUUUUGUGUUUCUUAUUCUUGCCUGUGGCACUCGCUGGCACUCGCUGGCACUUCGCUGGAAGUCAUAUGUAAUUUGUUGUUUGUGCACCAUACGGGAUGCCAUGAGCAUGCCUACUUAUGAAGGAAUCUAGUCAUAUAUAAUUACUUAUUUUUCUCCAAUCAUUU